rnacentral:rRNA from 2 species
UGGGGAAUAUUGGGCAAUGGGCGCAAGCCUGACCCAGCAACGCCGCGUGAGGGAAGAAGGUCUUCGGAUUGUAAACCUCUGUCCUUGGGGACGAAAAAAAUGACGGUACCCAAGGAGGAAGCUCCGGCUAACUACGUGCCAGCAGCCGCGGUAAUACGUAGGGAGCGAGCGUUGUCCGGAAUCACUGGGCGUAAAGGGUGCGUAGGCGGCAUGGCAAGUCAGAUGUGAAAUUCCCGGGCUUAACUCGGGGGGUGCAUUUGAAACUGCUGAGCUUGAGUGCAGGAGAGGAAAGCGGAAUUCCUAGUGUAGCGGUGAAAUGCGUAGAUAUAACACAGAACACCGAUUGCGAAGGCGGCUAACUGGACUGUAACUGACGCUGAAGCACGAAAGUGUGGGGAGCAAACAGG